rnacentral:rRNA from 1 species
UACGGGGGGAGCUAGCGUUGUUCGGAAUUACUGGGCGUAAAGGGCGUGUAGGCGGUACCAUAAGUCAGAUGUGAAAGCCCUAGGCUUAACCUAGGAGGUGCAUUUGAUACUGUGGAACUAGAGAUCGAGAGAGGAAAGUGGAAUUACGAGUGUAGAGGUGAAAUUCGUAGAUAUUCGUAAGAACACCAGUGGCGAAGGCGACUUUCUGGCUCGAUACUGACGCUAAGGCGCGAAAGCGUGGGGAGCAAACAGG